rnacentral:rRNA from 1 species
GACGAACGCUGGCGGCGUGCUUAACACAUGCAAGUCGAACGGAAAGGCCCUGCUUGCAGGGUACUCGAGUGGCGAACGGGUGAGUAACACGUGGGUGAUCCGCCCCGCACGUCGUGAUAAGCUUGGGGAACUGGGACUAAUACCGGAUAGGAGCCAUCUUUAGUGGGGUGGUUGGAAAGUUUUUUCGGUGUAGGAUGAGCUCGCGGCCUAUCAGCUUGUUGGUGGGGUAAUGGCCUACCAAGGCGGCGACGGGUAGCCGGCCUGAGAGGGUGUACGGACACACUGGAACUGAGAUACGGCCCAGACUCCGACGGGAGGCAGCAGGGGCGAAUAUUGCACAAUGGGAGCAAGCCUGAUGCAGCGAGGCCGCGUGGGGGAUGAAGGCCUUCGGGUUGUAAACUCCUUUCGCUAGGGACGAAGCUUUUUUGUGACGGUACCUAGAUAAGAAGCACCGGCUAACUACGUG